UUCUGAUACAUGUCAUCCACUGAAAGCAAAGACACCUGAGCAGACAAAGGAAUAUUUCUCAUCAAAGACCUGCAUAAGACUUGUUGUAGGAACUGACGCCCAAUCACACACAAAGCAAAGAAGGAAUAGACAGCGAUGGUGACCACCUGUGGAGAAGCGGCUGUUAAACAUUUGCCAGGGUUUCAAGAGAGCAUCAUGUAACUAUGCUUUUCACUGCAGAAACCAAAACAUUCUCCUGCAGUACAGGAGGUCUGCACAUUAUGCCCUAGCAUGUCCUGCGCACCCUACCAAUUCAAAAACAAUUAAACUGGCACUUUCACAAACUGAUCUAUUUCCUAGCUUGUUAUUUGAUGUUCGUUGGGAAACAGCUGACUAUUUUGGAGCUGGAAACUUGUUCCUUUCCUCUGCAAUAAAAAAAUGAGACGUUAAGUAAAA